GUUUCCAUGGCCACCGCUGACAGACAGAGAGGGAACAAGCCGCAGAACUAACAAUGGCCCCGCAGAAGAAAGAGGAAGAGGGAGAUUUGUGUAGGUAGCUGAGUGGGUAGUUCCAGGAUUUCAACCCAGUAAUAAUGAAGUAAUGGAAAUACUGAAGGAACAAAGGAAUGGAGACAUCACCAGGUCAGAAUGAUAGUACACAGUGCUGCUACUGAGCAUCAAUACCAGAUGGAUGUUUGUGGAUGUGGUGCCAAUUAAGUGGCCUGUUUGUCCUGGAUGGUGUCAGGUUCCUUGGGUAUUGUUGGAGCUGCAGCCAUCCAGGCAAGUGGUGAGUAUUCCCACUUUUAGAUGGUGGACAGACUCUGGGGAGUCAGCAGAAAGACCUUUGGAGUGAGAUCCUUCCACACUGCACGUUGGCAGCAGCUGCCUCAAAUUUUAGUGCUUUCCCCCCCCACCAAGCACAUGGUCCUGGAUCUUGGAAUGUCCCAGUCUGCAACACUCAAUCAAGGCAAUCUCCUUGCUCUGAAAGACCAAAGAGCAUCUUUCACCAAGUGGAUGGUCCUCCAGGUGCAGUCAAUGUUAAUAUCAGUACGUGUCCUGGAGCACAAAAUCCUGCGUCACAAAGCUGCUUGGGACGAACUUUUGGCAUCCUUUUCCAGACUUCCUUUGUAAGGGCACAUUCCAGCAAGAGAGGUAUAACAGCCUGCAGCCACUUCAAGGAGAGCCGGCAGUGGUGGGCAUACAAGAAGGAUCUCACGACCUUCCGCCCGCCAGCAAAGUGAUAUCUUGGUGCUUGUUAGAAAAUUCUGGUGAUGAGGAAUUCUGCCAAAUGAGUUUAACAGCCUGCUCAGGGAACAAUCCCACAGGAUCCACCCUCUUCCCACAGGGUAUUGAGGAUGCUGUGUGCUGACCACUUCCUGAUGGACUUGUGGUCAAGUGUUUUUCUUUGCAAAUUUCUCCAUGAAGGACAAGUGAUAUGGAAAGGUUUAUCUACUUGGAGUGUUCUGCUGAAAAGUGUGUAUGAAACAAAUUCGAAAGAGGUGGAUCAUACCAAUUAAAUAUGUCAUUUUAAUUUGUUGUUUAGUUGCAAUUUUUAAAAAUCACAACAUUCCUAUUAGUAAUGUUUAUAUGCCAUCAUCUCAAUGCAAAUACUUAUCUUGCCAAUUAUAGGUAUUAAUGCUCCUUUUCUUUCAGACACCAUACUUGUUUGGACUAAGAACUGGCACUUGCGUAUAUUUUUCCUAGAAAUACAAUCAAUUAAGGUUAGAACUUAGUUCAUAAAAUAGAUGAUAAAAUAUCAACAUUACUAAACAUAACCUUAAAUCUAAUAGUGUAUUCUGUGAAGAGGCUGACUUGUUGAACUGGUAAAUUCAAUUCUAUGUAAUCCAAUUAUGUUAAUCUUGAACAAGUAGCCACAAUCAUUUUUGCUUUCAAACAUCAGCACUGUUGCAGUAGUAAGCCAAGCCAAUUACGUAUUAACAAGAAAUCAGUGACACAUGGUUGGAUUUUCCCUUCACUCUAAUCAAUGACAGUGCUACCUCAGUAGCAGGGGAAUUUGCAACCGUUAAUGGUGAAAAAAAACUUAAAUUAAAAACAAGAAAAACUACCUUGAUAUUGAAUUAGUUUUUUAAAAAAAAUCUACGUUAGGGCUGGCUAAUAGUUGCUCAUACAUUUAUUUCUACGUUUUGCUUUGCCAAUCAAGCAACAAUCUAGCAUAAAAUGAUUUGGCCACUAGUCGUCACUCUGUUGCUCCGCAAAGAAGAUCAGUGGAUAAUUUGUUCAAAUGGUCAAUCCUGAACAAAACAAUUAAUUUUGCUAUAAGCAGGAUACGUUUAUCCUAUUAAGAACGUGAACCUAUUAGGGUCUAUCCACAGAAAAUUAUUCAGUCAAUACAGCUUCUCUAGAUCAUAGAUUAUUGAUUACAUUAAUAUUUGGAUUGAUCUGUUCAAAGUUGUGCACAAGUCAUGUAAUGUAAAUAAACUAGUCAAUUUCACUGAAGUACAAUCCAGUGAACAAUUUCUUCCAUGAGGAGAAAACAUCAACUUUGUUCAGUUAAUAACAUUAUUGUAUCUUGGUUGUGAGCUUGUGUGAAUUUGUUAAGUAACCCCAUUGUAAGACAAUGCUGCAUUAAGAUGUACUGUUCUUUCGGCAUGUGGCACCAAGAUUCUUGCCGUUCAGCUAAAUGUUAAAGAUCUAACGGUACAUUUUGAAGUGCAACUAACAUCGCUCUAGAAAACAAAACAGACCGCUCACCUGUUGUUUAUGGUAUCUAGCUCCAUACAAAAAAUUGCAUUUCAAAAAUUACUAACUUUAAAUGGUUUGAGUCCUUUGUCAUAGAAAACCAUUUAAAAGCUCAGCAAUCAUUUUCAGAUUGUCUGUUGACAAGCGCAAAAAGGUCUCAGUGCACAUGUACAAAACGCAUGCUUGCAGUACCCCUGCCGGUGAUGUCAUUCCAACCCGUACAGGAAUAUUAAUUGUCUUUCCUCAGACAUCUCCCUGUCUCAGCAACAGUGAACACUCUGUUUCAGGUCAAACUUGGGAGUUAUUUCAGCAACAUUUCUAAUUUCCAAAAUGACUUUUCCAUUUCCAUAUUAUUGUUCCAGGCGUUCCAUAUUGAAUGUUUUCUUUCUCCUUCAGUUCUGUGGCUGAAGACAGCCUCUUAGUAAUUAAUUGCUGCUGUAUUGACUAAAUAAUGUUCUGUAGAUAGACCCUAAUAGGUUCAUGUACCUUUAGGAUCAAUGUAUCCUGUUGUAGCAAAAUUAAUGGUAAAGCACUGAGAAUUUUAAAAACUUUUGUUGGAGGCAGCCGGAAAAUGAAUCAAAUCCAGUGCCGAUGGCUAACCAUUCACUCAAUAUUUUCCGUUAACAAUACUAAAUUUCUGAUCAAAUGAAGUAACAAAAGUGAUUUUUCUUCUGUAUGUUAAAAGUAACAGGUUUUCCAUAUGUAUGAAGUCAGAUGUGAGUACUGAAACAAAAGCAAAAUGGACAUCUGGGGAAAAUGCUGGAAGUAACCAGUCGGGAACUGUGGAGAGAGAAACUGAUGUAGCUGGCUGAUGACCUAUCAAGGUGAAUAAUGUGUUUGGUUAACAAAAUAAAUUAGUUCCUUUAGAUUCAAAAAUGCAAUUCUUAUUUUGGAUAUUUUUCACAUGUCAUAUGCUGGCCAUUUUGGCAAAGGACAUCAGCUGAGAUAAUGUCAUGGCAGCAAUAGGGCGUAAUCUAUUAGUAUUACUCCCACUGAAAGAAAGAUAAAAGUAUUGCUGAAAUUGCAUUUUACAUAGAAACAUGGGAAUAAUAAUGGUGGAGUAUUAAAUGCAUUCUACUUUGAAAUUAAAGCAACCUAAGCAAUUAAAAAUAUUGGCUAUGUCUCCUGUCACCCCAAAAAAUUCACUUUGUGUAUCAAGAUAUUUCUCCAUAUGAAAAAUUUGUGCAACACUCAGUUAGUAAAAACAAUGGUACCACAGAUGGUAGGAGUGCAGAAGACUCGUUCUUUGCAAUUGUCCAAUUGGUCUGCAGUUAUUUCUGCUAUUUUGGAUGACAGUGAGUGGCCUCUGUACUAGCUACUCACUCGCUUGCCUGAGAUACCUCUUGAACACUGACACCAACACUAACACACACUUUCUGCAAUGCCCAAUCCCUUCUUUUCUUUGUGCCAGAGAAAACAGCUCACAAUAGGGCAGAAAGGGUCCAGAUGAACAGAGGGGUGGCAAUAUUCAACUCCUCAGCCCCUGUGAGAAGAGAAUCCUGGCCCUCACAGGUGAGGACCGGGACACUUCUGUGGAAAUGCUGUGAUGGACCAAGUAAGUACCACUCUUCACUCCAUUACAGCAACCCUGAUUUCAGUAUCAUUCAUUUCACAGGACUUCUAACCAUUAACCAAAAUGGCUUCCCUUUCUUUUGUCUCACAGGUAUUGCCAGCAUCACUACCACCACCAUGGUGAAAUGGCUGGCUCUUCCAGAAGAGACCUCCUUGACUUCUGAGGACUUGAGUACAAAGGUUUCAGGGGAAACAUCAUCAAGGCUUAAAUGCUGACAUUUCGGUGGGAACAUCAGCCUUACUAAGUUUGGAAACAUAGUCUGGCAAGUGCCUCAUUAAAAAGGCUCCACAACUGGCCAAGGAAGAAAUACCUAGACUGCUGGCACCACGAGUCAAUCAGGGAGGUGCCAUGAUGGAAUGAAGGGUUUACAAAUGUCAGAUCCCACUGUCCAUCAAUGAGGCAUGUGUGAAGCUGAUGCCCGUAUGAACAAACCACAAGCCGCUGUUUGGUGCUGAGCACCAUGGAGGCCGGUAGAAGUUAGUGGCGAGUUGAAGUCGACUCUUACCCACUUUAAUUUUCAUACUGAGAUUUUUUGAUGUAUGGCUUGUUCAACUCAUUUGGUGAGAUAGGAAGCUAAAUAUUAACAAUGCAGGUUGCGGUAUUAACAAGACAUUUAACUUGCUAUAAUUGCCAUCAAUUGGCAACCUGCCGCUGCCUUGUAAGAAACUUACCUGGCCACUCAGCACAAGCAGAAAGGACACAGCAUGAUGCUCCUGACUUCAAGAUUGGCCUCUCUGGACUUCUCAUCUAAAUCUGCCACUAAUUUGGCUGUAGCCCAUGUCAUUUGGACCCCUUUAUUUUUCUGCCCUGUAUUUCUGUGUUGCAGGGCAAGAUAGUUGAGAAUGCUAGACAUUCUGAGAUCAGCUGACAAGAGAGAUAUGCAGAGGAAGAAGCAAACAAAAUAAUAAUGAUGAAUGUAGAGUUUAUAACACAAGCUUUUUAAGAUUACAUUCAUUUGUUACAUCCAUCCAAAAUAUCUGUGAGACU